AUAAAAGGUACUCUGGGGAUAACAGGCUGAUACCGCCCAAGAGUUCAUAUCGACGGCGGUGUUUGGCACCUCGAUGUCGGCUCAUCUCAUCCUGGGGCUGAAGCAGGUCCCAAGGGUAUGGCUGUUCGCCAUUUAAAGAGGUACGCGAGCUGGGUUUAGAACGUCGUGAGACAGUUCGGUCCCUAUCUACCGUGGGCGCUGGAAAUUUGAGAGGAUCUGCUCCUAGUACGAGAGGACCAGAGUGGACGAACCUCUGGUGUACCGGUUGUGACGCCAGUCGCAUCGCCGGGUAGCUAUGUUCGGAAGGGAUAACCGCUGAAAGCAUCUAAGCGGGAAGCCUACCUCAAGAUAAGAUUUCCCUAGGAAUUUAUUCCUCUAAAGAGCCGUUCGAGACUAGGACGUUGAUAGGUUGGAUGUGGAAGCAUAGUGAUAUGUGAAGCUGACCAAUACUAAUUGCUCGUGAGGCUUGACUAUACAACACCCAAGCAGUUG
rnacentral:rRNA from 1 species